GUAAUAUAAGAUACGGUCUCUUAGCUUUUAACUAAAAAAACUAAGAGACGUCUCUUAAAUAAGAGAUAUAAGAGCAUGUUUAUUGUAGGUUUCUUAGGUUAGGUCUCUUAGCGUAAUAUAAGAUACGGUCUCUUAGCUUUUUUAGUUAAAAGGUAAGAGACAAUAUCUUAUAUUAC
rnacentral:pre_miRNA from 1 species